rnacentral:rRNA from 1 species
UACGUAGGGGGCAAGCGUUGUCCGGAUUCAUUGGGCGUAAAGAGCUCGUAGGCGGUUCGGCAAGUCGGGUGUGAAAACUCCAGGCUCAACCUGGAGACGCCACCCGAUACUGCUGUGACUCGAGUCCGGUAGGGGACCACGGAAUUCCUGGUGUAGCGGUGAAAUGCGCAGAUAUCAGGAGGAACACCGGUGGCGAAGGCGGUGGUCUGGGCCGGUACUGACGCUGAGGCGCGAAAGCGUGGGGAGCGAACAGG